GAUGAACGCUGGCGGCGUGCCUAAUACACGCAAGUCGAGCGAACAGACUAGGAGCUUGCUCCUCUGACGUUAGCGGCGGACGGGUGAGUAACACGUGGAUAACCUACCUAUAAGACUGGGAUAACUUCGGGAAACCGGAGCUAAUACCGGAUAAUAUAUUGAACCGCAUGGUUCAAUAGUGAAAGACGGUUUUGCUGUCACUUAUAGAUGGAUCCGCGCCGCAUUAGCUAGUUGGUAAGGUAACGGCUUACCAAGGCAACGAUGCGUAGCCGACCUGAGAGGGUGAUCGGCCACACUGGAACUGAGACACGGUCCAGACUCCUACGGGAGGCAGCAGUAGGGAAUCUUCCGCAAUGGGCGAAAGCCUGACGGAGCAACGCCGCGUGAGUGAUGAAGGUCUUCGGAUCGUAAAACUCUGUUAUUAGGGAAGAACAAAUGUGUAAGUAACUAUGCACGUCUUGACGGUACCUAAUCAGAAAGCCACGGCUAACUACGUG
rnacentral:rRNA from 1 species